ensembl:lncRNA
GGGGUGGAAGGUGGGUCUGCAGGGAGGCGCAGUGGGGGAGGACCUAAGAGGGGCAAAGGUGAAAGAAGGGUUUCUAAGGAGAAACCAGGGAGGCCCUGGGAAAAGCGGCAGAAGAGAGCUCGGUGAACAGACAAACAGAGCAGAGGAUGGAGGGAACAGCCAAUUUGCAGGCGGGCCAACCAGGGAGACAUAGUGGCUUCUGCAUCCAACUCAGAGCAGUCAUGCUGAAGAAAAAAGGAUUAAGGACAAAAAGAGGCUGAUGUGGUCUGCCAGGCUGAUUGGGAUAGAAGGCACGUCCACGGAGAACACAGAUGGGGAUGUGGAAAAUAAAACUCCCCGACCCAAACCCAGAGAAUGGACUUAGAGGCAUGAGGUGCAGCGGGAAGCAAGGCUUUAAGGACAGUGUUGCAAAUGGGGUGUCUUGUGGGCAGGCACACCCAGAGUCCCUUACAAUGGGUUCUUCAGUCGGCAUGCAAGUCCCUCCCCCAGCUCCUCAUUGGCUGAGAACAAAGGGUUAACAAUCUUCUUGAAUGUCACCUGGAUUUACUAUUCUCCCUGCACACUUCUUCCCAUUCUUAUGUUUUGAAUUCACCAAUAGAAUGAG